GUGCUUAACUUCUGGAGCACAUAUACUAAAAUUAGAACCAUACAGAGAAGGAUCAGCAUGGCCUCUGCUCAAGGAUGACAUGUAAAUAGUGUUUGUGUUGCUAACGUUUU
rnacentral:snRNA from 1 species